GACGAACGCUGGCGGCGUGCCUAACACAUGCAAGUCGAACGGGGUGAUUCCUUCGGGGAUCACUUAGUGGCGAACGGGUGAGUAACGCGUGAGAAACCUGCCUUUCAGUGGGGGACAACAGUUGGAAACGACUGCUAAUACCGCAUAAUGUUAUCGAGCGGCAUCGCUUGAUAACCAAAGCUUUAUGUGCUGAAAGAUGGUCUCGCGUCUGAUUAGCUAGUUGGUGAGGUAACGGCUCACCAAGGCGACGAUCAGUAGCCGGUCUGAGAGGAUGAACGGCCACAUUGGGACUGAGAUACGGCCCAGACUCCUACGGGAGGCAGCAGUGGGGAAUAUUGGGCAAUGGGGGAAACCCUGACCCAGCAACGCCGCGUGAAGGAAGAAGGCCUUCGGGUUGUAAACUUCUUUUACCAGGGACGAAGAACGUGACGGUACCUGGAGAAAAAGCAACGGCUAACUACGUG
rnacentral:rRNA from 1 species